rfam:Winogradskyella sp. PC-19 genome.
ACUCAACGUUAAUUCUUUAAAAAGGGUGAGUUGAAGUUGUAAAACCGUGCUGCUGUUUCUAUGUAUUUAGAAUCUGGGCAGAUUUUUGAGCAGCUUGUUAGCCCUAAACUUGUUUUUAAGGAGUUU